GAACGCUGGCGGCGUGCUUAACACAUGCAAGUCGAACGAACCUUCGGGUUAGUGGCGGACGGGUGAGUAACGCGUGAGAAUCUGCCCUCAGGAGGGGGAUAACGGCUGGAAACGGCCGCUAAUACCCCAUAUGCCGAGAGGUGAAAUGAAUUUCGCCUGAGGAUGAGCUCGCGUCUGAUUAGCUAGUUGGUGGGGUAAAGGCCUACCAGGGAAAAGAUCAGUAGCUGGUCUGAGAGGAUGAUCAGCCACACUUUUUCUCAGACACGGGAAAGACUCCUACGGGAG
rnacentral:rRNA from 1 species